GUGGAAUCUGGAGAAUAAGACAUCAACUGCUUCAGAGGAAAAAAGCAUCAUGUAAUAGGAAAGUAAUACAGACGCAUUGAGGAAGAAUAAUUGAAAGUAAUGACUUUUCUGUAACAACAGAAAACUAUUUCCAUAGCAGACCAAAGUCCCAGGAUUCUCAUUGCACAGGAGUCACUGCAGGAUAUGCAAAUAUUUUCAAUUUAAGAUGACAUUUGCCAAUUCUAAUUCUUUGGGAUGUUCUCGCAGUGGAGUUAGCUAUGGAAUUGAAGUUUUGCUGGACAUGUACAAGACUAAC